rnacentral:misc_RNA from 1 species
GAUUAAGAACGUAGCGAAAUGCGAUAAGUAGUGUGAAUUGCAGAAUUCAGUGAAUCAUCGAAUCUUUGAACGCACAUUGCGCCCCUUGGUAUUCCAUGGGGCAUGCCUGUUCGAGCGUCAUUUGUACCUUCAAGCCUUGCUUGGUGUUGGGUGUUUGUCUCGCCUCUGCGCGCAGACUCGCCUCAAAACAAUUGGCAGCCGGCGUAUUGAUUUCGGAGCGCAGUACAUCUCGCGCUUUGCACUCAGAACGACGACGUCCAAAAGUACAUUUUUACACUCUUGACCUCGGAUCAGGUAGGGAUACCCGCUGAACUUAAGCAUAUCAAUAAGCGGAGGA